rnacentral:rRNA from 1 species
CACGUAGGGGGCAAGCGUUGUCCGGAUUCAUUGGGCGUAAAGAGCUCGUAGGCGGUUCGAUAAGUCGGGUGUGAAAACUCGAGGCUCAACCUCGAGACGUCGGUUGAAACCGUAUGGCUAGAGUCCGGAAGAGGAGAGUGGAAUUCCCGGUGUAGCGGUGAAAUGCGCAGAUAUCGGGAAGAACACCCGUGGCGAAGGCGGCUCUCUGGGACGGUACUGACGCUGAGACGCGAAAGCGUGGGGAGCGAACAGG